AAAAGUGACUGCAAAGCAUCUAACUACAUGACAUCUACCCCACCCCAUUGGUCAUGACUGGUGAUUCUGCAGAUCUGGCUACUUCAGUGCAUAUCCUCUUCCUCCCCCACCUCUCUAUGUAUAACCCUCCUGAAGCUGUAUGCGAGAUAGAAGGAUAACUUUCCCCACUAGAGGAAGGCUGGCCUUCAGUCAAAGAUAUAUGAGUAGCUGCAUUCCCUUAUAGAAUCUACAAAAACAGCACAGAGAAAAAGAAGAAAAAGAUGAAAUAUUUAAGCAAUAAAGGACUAUAAGACUGAUGAAAAUAGCCUUUAUAU
ensembl:misc_RNA 7SK 7SK RNA